rnacentral:misc_RNA from 1 species
UCGGGUGUAAAAACUCCAAACCCAUGUGAACCUACCACUGUUGCCUCGGCGCAGUUUCCUGUCUGGUGGCGAGAGCUGCUGGGCGGGUUGCGCCGGUGGACUACCAAACUCUUGUAAUUUUGGCAUUCUGAAUAAAAACUUAAUAAGUUA